AGCGAACGCUGGCGGCAGGCCUAACACAUGCAAGUCGAACGGAUCCUUCAGGAUUAGUGGCGGACGGGUGAGUAACACGUGGGAACGUGCCCUUUGGUUCGGAACAACUCAGGGAAACUUGAGCUAAUACCGGAUGUGCCCUUCGGGGGAAAGAUUUAUCGCCAUUGGAGCGGCCCGCGUCUGAUUAGCUAGUUGGUGAGGUAAAGGCUCACCAAGGCGACGAUCAGUAGCUGGUCUGAGAGGAUGAUCAGCCACAUUGGGACUGAGACACGGCCCAAACUCCUACGGGAGGCAGCAGUGGGGAAUCUUGCGCAAUGGGCGAAAGCCUGACGCAGCCAUGCCGCGUGAAUGAUGAAGGUCUUAGGAUUGUAAAAUUCUUUCACCGGGGACGAUAAUGACGGUACCCGGAGAAGAAGCCCCGGCUAACUUCGUGCCAGCCGCCGCGGUAAAAC
rnacentral:rRNA from 1 species